GUUCGUUCACUUUACCAAAGCAUUGGAUACUGUGAGCAGAAAGAAAAGGUAUGUGGCAAUUUUUUUAUUUUUGCUUUUAAUAGUUCUGACUUACAUAAGGUCAUAUAUAAAAAAUGGCCAGUCUUAAGAGAGGAUCAAAAUAUAGAUCCUGUUUUGUUUCCAGGUUUAUAUUUAGGGGAGCAAAAGAUUGAAACCGAUUUUAACUAAAAGUUUUAUAGAUAAAGAGAACAGAGAAGAAAGUGAUAUAUAUAUUUUUUUAAACAGAAUGGUUUCUUUUAUUGUCAAGACUGUAGUGGGUGCAAAUGAAGAUAGAACAAAAAUAAAAAAAAGUAGAAGGAUUUGUCUCAUUUAAAACUAAGGAGGAAUAUGUUAUUAAAUCUUUUAGCACCUGUAAUUCUAAGGAUGUAAUUUAUAUGUUAACAUGUCCCUGUGGAUUUCAGGGGGAAAAAUCAAGACUGUUAAAGAUACGCAUUAAAGAACCUGUUUAUAAUAUCAAUAGAAGGUAUAGUAAUAUUAGCGUAUCUAAAAAAAAAUUAUCAGAAAUUCAUUAUGGUAACCCCCAGUGGACUUGAGUUUGUUGGUAUAGCUGAAACUAAAGUCCAAUGGAGAAGUGGAGAUAAAAGUAACCUCUUUGGUAAGACAGAAAUUAGCUGGAUUUUUAUUGUAGAUACUUUUGAGAUAAUUUUGAGAUUAAUUCUUUUAUGUGACUUAUCUAUAUAUAUGUGGAUGUGUGUAUAUAUAUAUAUAUCUAUAUAUAUAUAUAUACACUGCUCAAAAAAAUAAAGGGAACACUUAAACAACACAAUGUAAGUGACAAUGUGAGUGACAAUCAAUUUCACAUGCUGUUGUGCAAAUGGGAUCGACAACAGGUGGAAAUUAUAGGCAAUUAGCAAGAACCCCCAAUAAAGGAGUGGUUCUGCAGGUGGUGACCACAGACCACUUCUCAGUUCCUAUGCUUCCUGGCUGAUGUUUUGGUCACUUUUGAAUGCUGGCGGUGCUUUCACUCUAGUGGUAGCAUGAGACGGAGUCUAGAACCCACACAAGUGGCUCAGGUAGUGCAGCUCAUCCAGGAUGGCACAUCAAUGCGAACUGUGGCAAGAAGGUUGGCUGUGUCUGUCAGCGUAGUGUUCAGAGCAUGGAGGCGCUACCAGGAGACAGGCCAGUACAUCAGGAGACGUGAAGGAGGCUGUAGGAGGGCAACAACCCAGCAGCAGGACCACUACCUCUGCCUUUGUGCAAGGAGGAACAGGAGGAGCACUGACAGAACCCUGCAAAAUGACCACCAGCAGGCCACAGCAUCCUCCAGCAUGACCGGCUUGGCAGUGGGUCAGUAAUGGUGUGGGGUGGCAAUUCUUUGGGGGACCGCACAGCCCUCCAUGUGUUCGCCAGAGGUAGCCUGACUGCCAUUAGGUACCGAGAUGAGAUCCUCAGACCCUUUGUGAGACCAUAUGCUGGUGCGGUUGACCCUGGGUUCCUCCUAAUGCAAGACAAUGCUAGACCUCAUGUGGCUGGAGUGUGUCAGCAGUUCCUGCAAGAAGGCAUUGAUGCUAUGGAAUGGAUUCCUCAGACCUGAAUCCAAUUGAGCACAUCUGGGACAUCAUUUCUCGCUCCAUCCACCAACGUCACGUUGCACCACAGACUGUCCAGGAGUUGGCAGAAGCUUUAGUCCAGGUCUGGGAGGAGAUCCCUCAGGAGACCAUCCGCCACCUCAUCAGGAGCAUGCACAGGUGUUGUAGGGAGGUCAUACAGGCACGUAGAGGCCACACACACUACUGAGCCACAUUUUGACUUGUUUUAAGGACAUUACAUCAAAGUUGGAUCAGCCUGUAGUGUGUUUUUCCACUUUAAUUUUGAGUGUGACUCCAAAUCCAGACCUACAUGGGUUGAAAAAUUUGAGUAAUUUUGUAAUUUGUGUGUGAUUUUGUUGUCAGCACAUUCAACUAAGAAAAGAACAAAGUAUUUCAGAAGAAUAUUUAAUUCAUUCAAAUCUAGGAUGUGUUAUUUUUGUGUUCCCUUUAUUUUUUUGAGCGGUGUAUAUAUAUAUUUGUGUACGGCGCAUUUCGAGGACGUAAGGAAACAAAUAAUAAAAAGAAGCAGUAUUAGAAAGAGCAAAGUCAGCUGAGGUGUGCCGAAACCGACGUGAGGUUAGACCUGUAAAAGAGGGCCCACCUAGGUGAAAUGAUAAUUAAACUGAGGGUGCGGUGGGAGGGGCAUGUCCAAGAAUGUCGCUGACAGGUGAGUAGGGGCUCACAGGGUUUAAAUAGGGAUGUCCCAGCCUUCUAUAUAUAUAUAUAUAUAUUUAUUAUUUUUUAAAGAUUUUUUUAAACUUUUUAUCUAUUUAUUUCUCCCUCUGUAGAUUGUUUAAUUUGAUGUAUAAUUGGACUCUCAGUUUUAUUAAGUAGAUUUUUAGCCUGAAUUAAAUAAAUGGUUUUAUUCUCCAGAAUUAACACUUAAAUAUAUGAACUUUUACAUUUCAAUAUUGUUUUUUAAUUUAAUUAUAUAUGCUAUAAUUCUAUAGCAUAUACUGAAUAUCUUAAUUAGGAUAGAUUUAUAAAUAUAUUUUUUGUGUGUUUAUAUUUCCGAUUUUUAAGUGUGUAAGAUAUGUAUUUAUAUGUAUUUAGUCUCCUAUAAUUUGGCGGAUUUUCCAUGAAUUUAUGUUGAAUUUAGAACUCUAAAACUGGAAGAUGACCUUUGCGCCCACACACCACUCUCCCAUACGAUGUCAGGACGCAAGGAUGUGUCUAUACGAACUCAUCCUGAUGCCAAGAGGAAGCAGCCGAUAUGGAAAAAGGGGGCGUGAAGAUCGUGGAGAAAAGGUGC
rnacentral:lncRNA from 1 species